AAAUUGAAGAGUUUGAUCAUGGCUCAGAUUGAACGCUGGCGGCAGGCCUAACACAUGCAAGUCGAACGGUAACAGGAAACAGCUUGCUGUUUCGCUGACGAGUGGCGGACGGGUGAGUAAUGUCUGGGAAACUGCCUGAUGGAGGGGGAUAACUACUGGAAACGGUAGCUAAUACCGCAUAACGUCGCAAGACCAAAGAGGGGGACCUUCGGGCCUCUUGCCAUCGGAUGUGCCCAGAUGGGAUUAGCUAGUA
rnacentral:rRNA from 1 species